GAUGAACGCUGGCGGCGUGCCUAAUACAUGCAAGUCGAGCGAACAGACGAGGAGCUUGCUCCUCUGACGUUAGCGGCGGACGGGUGAGUAACACGUGGAUAACCUACCUAUAAGACUGGGAUAACUUCGGGAAACCGGAGCUAAUACCGGAUAAUAUAUUGAACCGCAUGGUUCAAUAGUGAAAGACGGUUUUGCUGUCACUUAUAGAUGGAUCCGCGCCGCAUUAGCUAGUUGGUAAGGUAACGGCUUACCAAGGCAACGAUGCGUAGCCGACCUGAGAGCGUGAUCGGCCACACUGGAACUGAGACACGGUCCAGACUCCUACGGGAGGACGCAGUAGGGAAUCUUCCGCAAUGGGCGAAAGCCUGACGGAGCAACGCCGCGUGAGUGAUGAAGGUCUUCGGAUCGUAAAACUCUGUUAUUAGGGAAGAACAAAUGUGUAAGUAACUAUGCACGUCUUGACGGUACCUAAUCAGAAAGCCACGGCUAACUACGUG
rnacentral:rRNA from 1 species